rnacentral:rRNA from 1 species
UACGUAGGGUGCGAGCGUUGUCCGGAAUUACUGGGCGUAAAGAGCUCGUAGGUGGUUUGUCACGUCGUCUGUGAAAUUCCGGGGCUUAACCUCGGGCGUGCAGGCGAUACGGGCAAUACUUGAGUGCUGUAGGGGAGACUGGAAUUCCUGGUGUAGCGGUGAAAUGCGCAGAUAUCAGGAGGAACACCGGUGGCGAAGGCGGGUCUCUGGGCAGUAACUGACGCUGAGGAGCGAAAGCAUGGGUAGCGAACGGGAUUAGAUACCCCCUGUAGU